AUACAGCAAUAGAAAACCAAUACAGCCAGAAUGGUGCCAAUGGAGAUUAUAAAGAAGAGGAUAGAUGGAUUUUGGCAAUAAUUUAUGACUGUGAUCCAUCUGAGAAGAGCUGUCAGCUGUCAGCCAAGCGGUUAUAUUUAUAGACCUAGAACUCAACAAGAGCUUCUACAGGCUACUGGCAUUCUUGGCUCAAGGCCUCUUCCUCCAUCUUCAAAGCCAGCAACAUCAGGUCAAGUUCUUUUCAUCCUUCCAUCUCUCUGCUUCUUUCUCCUGCACCUCCUUCUUCCACUUUUGAGGCCCUUUGUCAUUACAUUGGGCCCUCCUGGAUAAUACAAGAUUUUAAGAUCAUCUGAUUAGCAAACUUAAUUUUAUGUUAUCUUAACUCCCCUUUUCCAUAUAACAUAACAUAGUCACAGGUCCUAGGGACUAGGACGUGGACAUCUUUUGUCGUCAUAACUCUGCUUACUACAGAGGCUAAGGAUUUAUCUACACAAUGUGUAAUAUAAUAAUCUUGAAGAGAGCUGGUUGUAUGAAUGGUAAAGGCAGAAGUAAUAAAUAGUUCAGCAGGUAUAGAGUGCAGUGGGAGUGAAGUCAGAAUGGAGUGACUAUGAAAAACCUUGACAAGUUCAGCUAUGAAUGAAUAAAAGAAAGUAGAGUAAAGAAAAGGAAUAAAAGGAAGUA
rnacentral:lncRNA from 1 species